rnacentral:rRNA from 1 species
GACGAACGCUGGCGGCGUGCUUAACACAUGCAAGUCGAACGGCAAGGCCCUGCUUUUGUGGGGUGCUCGAGUGGCGAACGGGUGAGUAACACGUGAGUAACCUGCCCUUGACUUUGGGAUAACUUCAGGAAACUGGGGCUAAUAUCGGAUAGGAGCUCCUGCUGCAUGGUGGGGGUUGGAAAGUUUCGGCGGUUGGGGAUGGACUGGCGGCUUAUCAGCUUGUUGGUGGGGUAGUGGCUUACCAAGGCUGUGACGGGUAGCCGGCCUGAGAGGGUGACCGGCCACAUUGGGACUGAGAUACGGCCCAGACUCCUACGGGAGGCAGCAGGGGGGAAUAUUGCACAAUGGGCGGAAGCCUGAUGCAGCAACGCCGCGUGCGGGAUGACGGCCUUCGGGUUGUGAACCGCUUUCGCCUGUGACGAAGCGUGAGUGACGGUAAUGGGUAAAGAAGCACCGGCUAACUACGUG